CGGUUAUUUUGCAAUUUACUCCUCAGCCUUUUCUCGACCAAACCCGAGGUCCCUAUCUUCCUCCUUCCUCUCUGACCGACACUCUGCUCUCUUCCUCCUUCCUCUCCGACCGGCCGGCGCCGGCGGCGCCGCUUCCCUCCGCGCAGCUCCACGCCGCCUGUGCCUCCUCUCCCUCCCCCGCGGUUCCUUCCCUCCCCAGCGCCGGCGCCCUCUCCCUUGGGCGCGUCACCGGCGCUCUCUUCCUCUUGCAUGUCCGGUGAAAAUUCGAUUUUCCCCCUCCGGCACUCCGGUCUGCAGCGGCCGUGCUCAAUCAGCGGCGGGGACUACCAAGAUGGCUCGACGGAGCUGCUUCUGCCGGUCGCCUGCACGGGGCUGCUGCUGCCGGUCGUCAGGUGAGGAGCGCAUCUCCUGCAGCAGCGGCUACCUGGCCACGCAGCAGCGGCGGCGGGAUGGUGGCGGCAAGGGGGCGGCGAGCUCCUCCGUCCGCUCUAGGACUCCGCCGCCAAGGGGGCGAGCUCCUCCGUUCGCUCUAGGACUCCACAGCGAAGGGGGAACGCCCUUGCAUCUGGGAGGUGCUCGAGCUCGUCAAAGGUUCACAGCAAAAAACUGGUUUUGAAUUCGCCGCCGGCUCCGAGACCUCGACCGGACGGAUGGAAGGCGGAUUGAAAUCGUUGCUGUGGCGCCGUAUAUUAUAUGCAGUCCCACGUUUUCCUCUUCCUUUAUUUAGGUGAGCAUCAUCACAAAACAUGCAUCGUCAGACAGGUGUUGGUUGACUGAAUAUUGGGCAGGUGAUAUUGAUCUGAGCAGGAUUUGUUUUUA